CCCGCGGCCAAGCCCCCGCCUCCCCCGGACAAGGCGCCGUGCGCUGCCGGGUGCAGGACGCGGGGGAGGCCGGGGAGCUCGGCUGUGCUCCGGCCCAGCAGGCCUCGUGCUGUUUUGCCCGAGGACGCGGCCGUCGGCGCUGCGGGUGGCUCUGCCGCCCCGGCCCGCUCUCCGCCGGGCUGCUCCCGCGCUGAUGGACGUGUCCCGCGGGCCCUGCCCUGUGCGGCUGAGAGAAGACUUGGCAGCUGCGCGCAGUCCUUGCGCUUGGUGAGGCAUCUCCUGCAAGGGUGUAUGACAUUGGCUGCACCUACAGCUUUCCAUCAUUUAGUUUGUCAAAUGGCAUAAAGUGCACGUGGAAACUCAUUGUGGCAGGCCUCUAGAGAUUCCCAAGGGAGGAACUGAGCUUCACUGCUGUUCCUUUGCUGCGCUUCUUGCUAGGUAGCUAUGGCCUGGCUGUUUCAUGUUGGUUGGUCUUUGGUAACUUCUGGGCAUGCUGUGUGAGACCUUCCUGAGCCACAUCUUUUGCUUCUUUUGCAGGAACACAGACCCAGAACUAAACCUGGGGGAUUUGUAUCCCUCCCUAGCAAUAACUGUUGCCUUGAUGAAAUGGGACUGGAAAUGGGCAUGGGCCAGAAACCACAGCCUGGUCUUAUCCGUAGGGGUGUGGGAAGUCCAUGCCAUAAGUUUUGCUGCCUGUAUCCUGGAACACAAAGAAUAAAAUAAUCACCUUUUGGCAA